rnacentral:rRNA from 1 species
UACGGGGGGGGCAAGCGUUGUUCGGAAUUACUGGGCGUAAAGGGCUCGUAGGUGGCCAACUAAGUCAGACGUGAAAUCCCUCGGCUUAACCGGGGAACUGCAUCUGAUACUGGAUGGCUUGAGUUCGGGAGAGGGAUGCGGAAUUCCAGGUGUAGCGGUGAAAUGCGUAGAUAUCAGGAGGAACACCGAUGGCGAAGGCAGGUCUCUGGGCAUUAACUGACGCUGAGGAGCGAAAGCAUGGGGAGCGAACAGG